CCAUAUUCCCGAGCUUCGCCCCCUAGUCCUACGGACCAGCAAGCUCGGGGGGCGAAGCUCGGGAAUAUG
rnacentral:tRNA from 1 species